rnacentral:rRNA from 1 species
GGGGGGGGGGGGGGGGGGGGGGGGGGGGGGGCGGGGGGGGGGGGGGGCCCGGGUGGGGGGGGGGGCUGUGGUGGCGGGCGGGGGGGUCACGAGGGAGUAGCCGGGCCGUGCCGUGGUGAUGAGUUCGGGCAACGUGGGCUACUCCGGGAUGGUGGCUCCUGCCGCAUUGUGUGGCUCGGAGAGUUUCGGCGGGUGGGGCUGGACGCGCGGCGUAUCAGCUUGUUGGUGGGGGAGUGGCGUACCACGGCGUUGACGGGUAGCCGGCCUGAGAGGUGGACCGGCCGAAUUGGUAAUGAGAUACGGCACAGACUACUACGGGAGGCAGCAGUGGGGAAUAUUGCACAAUGGUCGGAAGCCUGAUGCAGCAACGCAGCGUGCGGGAUGACGGCCUUCGGGUUGUAAACCGCUUUCGCCUGUGGCGAAGCGUGAGUGACGGUAAUGGGUAAAGAAGCACCGGCUAACUACGUG